rfam:Mycobacterium xenopi RIVM700367 contig65, whole genome shotgun sequence.
UGGAUAGCUCCGUGUUGUCGUCCGACCCCCGACCCGAUGGCAACGCGGGGCAUCCC